rnacentral:lncRNA from 1 species
AUAAGGCUGUCCAUACCCUAGUUUUCCUUAAUCUUGCUCCUAGAAAACGCUACUAAAAAUGCUUAUCAUGUAGUUGUUUAUUGAAAUAAAAAUGUGAACAAUUGUUUGACAAUGAGGACAUAAGAAAAUUGGAAGUUCAGUUAUAGUAUGGAUUAUUACGAAAUCACUACUGAUAUUUCUGUGGAUUGAUUAACCUGAAACUAAAAA